AUGAGCCACUCCACUUAUUGCCAA
rnacentral:siRNA from 1 species